rnacentral:rRNA from 1 species
UACGUAGGGGGCUAGCGUUGUUCGGAUUUACUGGGCGUAAAGCGCGCGUAGGCGGGCCGUUAAGUUGGGGGUGAAAGCCCGAGGCUCAACCUCGGAACUGCCUUCAAAACUGGCGGCCUGGAGCAGAUGAGAGGCGAGUGGAAUUCCGAGUGUAGAGGUGAAAUGCGUAGAUAUUCGGAGGAACACCAGUGGCGAAGGCGACUCGCUGGCAUGUUGCUGACGCUGAGGCGCGAAAGCGUGGGGAGCAAACAGG